UUUUCAGGUUAUAAGCUCAGGCAGGAAACUGGCUCCAUGAAGCUCUCCAGCGCGAUUAGCCUGUGACGUCAGUGGGGGUGGCAAGUGGAAUCACGUGACAGCACUUGGACGUUGAAUGUCCAUGUCCUACAAGCCGCAGCGAGACAUUAAAGGAAAAUUUGGUGCAUCCCUAAUUCACAGCCCCCGCACUGCCUGUGCCAGGGGCUGCCCUGCAAAUCACAGGCCACCAAAACGGACCAGGUCGGCAGUGUGGGAAGUUUUCGGCUAUCCAAAGGAUGAAGACGGCAAAAUUCUUGAAGAUGGAAUGCCGACUUGCAAACGCUGCAAGAGAAAAGCGCCUUGCAAAGUGGCAAACACGUCCAACAUGGCAUAUCAUCUCCGUGAGAAACAUCCACAAGACCAUGCCAAAAUCGUCAAAUCCACGGAGAAAGCAAGUCCUUCAAGUGCGCCAUCAAGCAGCCAGUCUAAUAUAAAAGAAUCCUUUGCCAAGGGAGCAAAAUAUGCUCCCAACAUCCUUGGGUGUGGUUAGGGUGUUUUGGGCACAAUCUAAAUUAAGCCAUCUCAAAAGCCUUGGGCAUACAGAAAGUCCAACUGGCAGUAAAGGCAUGCAGGCACCUGGUGGAAGCCUUUUCACGAAGCUGGAAGAAGAAACGCGCAUUCAAAAAGAAGCAAAAUGACCUGGAGCUCCCAAACCAUGACCUCAUACAUGAUGUGGUAACCAGGUGGGAUUCCACCUUCAAAAUAGUAUCCCGAUUCCUGGAGCAGCAGCAACCUAUUAGCAGUGUUUUAGCUGACGACUGGAGCUCAUGGGCUCUGAUGCCAAAGGAACACCACGUCACCACUUUGGAGAAACUUAGGCAGCUCCUCUCCCCCCUUAACGAUUUUGAAGAUGCCCUUGCCUCGGAGAAAAGGGUCACCAUGUCAGCUGUGAAACCAAUAAUGGAGCACAUCAUUGGCGAGAUCCUUCUCAUUGAUGGUGCAGAUUCAGCUGACACCAAGGCAAUGAAGCAGGCAAUUAGAGGCGACUUGGAGGCAAGGUACUCAGAGAAGACAAAACAAAUGAUGGAAAUGUGCUGUUUCUUAAAUCCCAGAUUUAAGGAAAGAUUCUGUGUCAAUAUUGAUGAAAGAAAGAAGGCCUGCAUUGGAGAAGCCAUGAAGAUUCUUCCUCCAACAGCUGCACAUCCAUGGACAGAAGAAACAUCUGUUCUGCUGCCUCCUACAACAUCUUGUAUGUACCACAUUGUAUCUUUGCUGUUUUUAUGUAAAGCACUUUUAUUGCAUUCAAUAUGUGAAAAUGUGCUGCUGCUGUAUAAAUUAAUCUUUCUUGCUUUUGUGUAGCACCCGUGGUCUUAGCCGGAAGGGGCAGAUAGGAUGCUAGCAUCACUCUAGGUCCUUAAAGAAGUUAAACACUGAUGACUCACGAGGGGAGUUGGUGUUGGUUGAAUAGAUGAGCUAUUUUAAUGCCUUUCAUCAUAAACAUUUACAUUUGGUACAAAAUAAAGCUUUUGAAAAUAACAAACAAACAAACAAAAUCAAAAGAAUAAGUCCUUUGUAGCUGGAUUCCCCAGCUACAGUACUCCUUGGGAAGGAGUUGUUUGGUCGAGGAAUGUCGAGUUCAAGGGGGGGAUAUCCGGAUAUGUGUGUUUCUCUUACUACUACCCGGGUAGGUUAGUGUGUAUCUAUUUCUAUGUCUUAUCUGUUAUGAAUGGAUCUUCACAAGGGCUUCUAUGGUGGUGUUCACGGCUGGCCACGCCGUAUCCACACCAUCCACAGUUCUAUUGGGCAAAGCUCGCCAUCGUAGAUGCAAUCUUCCUUCGAUCAAACAAAAAAA